rfam:Kazachstania naganishii CBS 8797 chromosome 1, complete genome
GGGCACAUGGCGCAGUUGGUAGCGCGCUUCCUUUGCAUGGAAGAGGUCAUUGGUUCGAUUCCUAUUGUGUCCA